AUAGGAUCCGGUAGGUAAGGCUACCGCGAGGGAUACGGACUGCUGCCGCGAAGUGGUGGAGACACCAUCAGAGGGUUUGAGCAGGUGCCAUCGAAAGCAAGGUGGCAUCUAAUGCAGUUUCACCGCCCCGCGAUGCUAAAGCUUGUAACGGUGCAGAACAGGG
rnacentral:sRNA from 2 species